rnacentral:RNase_P_RNA from 1 species
UUCGAUGGUAGAUGAUCGCUGGUGAAUCGCGAGGUUCGCUGGAGGAAAGUCCGAACACCAUACGGCAGCAUGCCGCGUAGAAUACGCGGGCAGCGGUUGUCAGGCAGUGGCCGGACGGGCGUUGACGGAAAGUGUCACAGAAAAGACACCGCCGGUUCUUUGAAAGAACAAUUGUUCUUUUUUUAGCGCAGGCAAGGGUGAAAAGGCGAGGUAAGAGCUCACCGCGCGCGGAGUAAUUCGUGCGGCACGAAAAACCCCAUGCGGUGCAAGACAAAACAGAGGCAGGGCAGCCGGUCCGAUAAAAAUCCUCGGGUAUGUCGCUUAGAGAAAUGAUCAUCCACGACAGAAUUCGGCUUACCGCCAUCUAAAUAU